UUAGGGUUUAGGGUUUUUUUAGGGUUUAGGGUUUAAGGUAUUUUUAGGGUUUAAGGUUUUUUAGGUUUUAGGGUUUUUUAAGGUUUAGUGUUUAGCGUUUUUUAGGGUUUAAGGUUUUUUAGGGUUUUUUAGGGUAUAUGGUUUAGGGCUUUUUAGGGUUGAGGGUUUUAGGGUGUUGGGUUUAGGUUUUAGGGUUUUUUAGGGUUUAAGGUUUUUUAUGGUUUAGGGUGUAGGAUUUGUUAGGGUUUAGGGUUUAGGCUUUUUUAGGGUUUAGGGUUUACUGUUUUUGGUUUUUUAGGGUGUAGGGUUUUUUGGGGUUAGGGUUUUGUAUAGUUUAGGGUUUUUAAGUGUUUAGGGUUUAGGGUUUUUUAGGGUUUAGGCAUUAGGGUUUUUUGGGUUUGGGGUUUAGGGUUUUUUAGGGUUUAGGGUUUAGGGUUUAGGAUUUUUAGGGUUUAGGGUUUUUUAGGGUUUAGGGUUUAGGGUUUUUUAAGGUUUAGGGGUUUUUAGGGUUUAGGGUUUUUUAGGUUUUAGGUUUUUUAGGGUUUUUUAGAGUUUAGGGUUUAGGGGUUAGGUUUUAGGGUUUUUAGGGUUUACGGUUUUUUAGGGUUUAGGGUUUAAGGUUUUUGGGGGUUUAGGGUUUAAGAUUUCUUAGGAUUUAGGGUUUUCAAGGUUUAGGGUUUUUAAGGGUUUAUGGUAUUUUAGGGUUUAGGGUUUAGGGUUUUUAAGGAUUUAGGGUUUUUUAUGGUUUAGGGUUUGGCGUUUUUUAGGAUUUAGGGUUUAGGGUUUUUAGGGUAUAAGGUUUAACGUUUUUUAGGGUUUAUGGUUUAUGGUUUAGGGUUUUUAAGGUAUAAGGUUUAGGGUUUUUUAGGGUUUAGGGUUUUUAGGGUUUAUGGUUUAUGGUUUACGUUUUUUUAGGGUUUAGGGUUU
rnacentral:lncRNA from 1 species